GUUGAACGCUGGCGGCAUGCCUUACACAUGCAAGUCGAACGGCAGCAUGAUCUAGCUUGCUAGACUGAUGGCGAGUGGCGAACGGGUGAAUAAUACAUCGGAACGUGCCCUGUAGUGGGGGAUAACUAGUCGAAAGAUUAGCUAAUACCGCAUACGACCUGAGGGUGAAAGUGGGGGACCGCAAGGCCUCAUGCUAUAGGAGCGGCCGAUGUCUGAUUAGCUAGUUGGUGAGGUAAAGGCUCACCAAGGCGACGAUCAGUAGCUGGUCUGAGAGGACGAUCAGCCACACUGGGACUGAGACACGGCCCAGACUCCUACGGGAGGCAGCAGUGGGGAAUUUUGGACAAUGGGGGCAACCCUGAUCCAGCAAUGCCGCGUGUGUGAAGAAGGCCUUCGGGUUGUAAAGCACUUUUGUCCGGAAAGAAAUCGCACUUACUAAUAUUAGGUGUGGAUGACGGUACCGGAAGAAUAAGGACCGGCUAACUACGUGCCAGCCGCCGCCGUAAGAC
rnacentral:rRNA from 1 species